GUUGUCGCAGUGGGAUUCCCUGGGGGUAAGUGUCCUGUCCCUGUGCCCUGAGCCCCGCCUGGGUCCUAGGCCACCCACCGACACUGCUCCCCACACAGCCGGGAAGUCCACCUUUCUCAAGAAGCACCUCGUGUCGGCCGGAUAUGUCCACGUGAACAGGGACACGCUAGGCUCCUGGCAGCGCUGUGUGACCACCUGUGAGACAGCCCUGAAGCAAGGGAAACGGGUCGCCAUCGACAACACAAACCCGGACGCUGCGAGCCGCGCCAGGUAGCGUGACCGUAGGUAGGGCCGUAGGGGGCCUGUGGCGGGGUGGGCGGGGCCUGCACAUCCAGCUCCUUCCCCCACAGGUACGUCCAGUGUGCCCGAGCCGCGGGCGUCCCCUGCCGCUGCUUCCUCUUCACCGCCACUCUGGAGCAGGCGCGCCACAACAACCGGGUGAGCCCGCUCAGCCCGGACACCCCCUGGGCUGCACCCCCUGACCCCCUCUCCUCCCCUGACCCCUGGGCCUGCCGCCCCCUCUGAUGUUCCCCACAGUUUCGAGAGAUGACAGACUCCUCUCAUAUCCCCGUGUCAGACAUGGUCAUGUAUGGCUACAGGAAGCAGUUCGAGGCCCCAACGCCGGCGGAAGGCUUCUCUGCCAUCCUGGAGAUCCCGUUCCGGCUAUGGGUGGAGCCGAGGCUGGGGCGGCUGUACUGCCAGUUCUCCGAGGGCUGAGCCCCACCCAGCUCCCCUCCACAAUAAAUGCUGUUUCUCCUUGA
rnacentral:sRNA from 1 species